rnacentral:rRNA from 1 species
CAGUCGCCGCGGUAAUACGAAGGGGGCUAGCGUUGCUCGGAAUUACUGGGCGUAAAGGGAGCGUGGGCGAAUCGAUUAGUCAGGGGUGAAAUCCCGGGGCUCAACCUCGGAACUGCCUUUGAUACUGUCGAUCUUGAGUAUGGGAGAGGUGUGUGGAACUCCGAGUGUAGAGGUGAAAAUCGUAGAUAUUCGGAAGAACACCAGUGGCGAAGGCGACACACUGGCCCAUUACUGACGCUGAGGCUCGAAAGCGUGGGGAGCAAACAGGAUUAGAUACCCCCGUAGUCCCUGUCUCUUAUAC